CUUUUUUCACAAGCAACUUACAUGUUGGCAAGUUGCAGCCAAAAAAUUGAAAAGCUCAUUCUUUGGCAUGCAACAUCAUCGUCUCUCUACCUUGUUCUUUCUCUCCUAUCCCUUUCUCUUACUGAAGCCAACUGCAUGGGGAAUUUGAACAGGUGCACAUGAGAGAGAGAGAAAGAGAGAAUUGUAGGCACGCGGAAAUGUUGGCAACAGAGAUGCGGAGAGCAACGAAUAG
rnacentral:lncRNA from 1 species